AAAUUGAAGAGUUUGAUCAUGGCUCAGAUUGAACGCUGGCGGCAGGCCUAACACAUGCAAGUCGAACGGUAACAGGAAGCAGCUUGCUGCUUUGCUGACGAGUGGCGGACGGGUGAGUAAUGUCUGGGAAACUGCCUGAUGGAGGGGGAUAAACACGGGAAACGGGGGCUAAUACCGCAUAACGUCGCAAGACCAAAGAGGGGGACCUUCGGGCCUCUUGCCAUCAGAUGUGCCCAGCUGGGAUUCACUUGUUGGGGGGGGUACGGCUCAACAACACGACCAUGCCUAGCUGGUC
rnacentral:rRNA from 1 species